rnacentral:rRNA from 1 species
CAAUAGCGUAUAUUAAAGUUGUUGCAGUUAAAAAGCUCGUAGUUGGAUUUCUGGUGGGAGCGAUCGGUCUGGCGCUUAGCGCGAGUACUUGCAUCGUCUCCGGCCAUCCUUGGGGAGAGUCUGUCUGGCAUUAGGUUGUCGGGCAGAGGAUCCUCAUCGUUUACUGUGAAAAAAUUAGAGUGUUCAAAGCAGGCUUAUGCCGUUGAAUAUAUUAGCAUGGAAUAAUAACAUAGGACUUUGAUUCUAUUUUGUUGGUUGGAGAUCAAGGUAAUGAUUAAUAGGGAUAGUUGGGGGUAUUCAUAUUUAAUUGUCAGAGGUGAAAUUCUUGGAUUUAUGAAAGAUGAACUCAUGCGAAAGCAUUUACCAAGGAUGUUUUCAUUAA